ensembl:lncRNA
AUCAUAAAUCUUUAAUUUUCAUGAAUGUGAUUUUCAGCUCUGGAGCCAAUCAGACUGAGACCCCGAGACAGUGAGAGGAGGAGCAACAGCACGGAGCGCCGCCGAGAUAAAGAGGAGAAGCGGCCUCCUCCUGUUGGAACAAAGAGUGAUGCCACAGAGAAGAAGAAAACAGGUCAGAAAUAUUUUCAGUGCGUUUACGUUCCUGGAAAAAGUGGGAACUUCUCUCCACGACCGUUCACCCCGGCCAUGCCCGUGAUGAUGUCACCGGCAUUCAGGGCAGCCAUGGAGCAGCAGCGGGAAAGGGCAUCCAGGAGACGAUAGGAAACUACAACAAGAGACAAUCUACGACAAGAG